rnacentral:tRNA from 1 species
GGAGGGUAUAGCUCAGUGGUAGAGUGCAUGCUUAGCAUGCAUGAGGUCCUGGGUUCAAUCCCCAGUACCUCCA